GCUGGGUGCGGUGGCUCAUGCCUGUAGUUCCAGCUAUUCGGGAAGCUGAGGUGGGAGGAUUGCUUGAGCCCAGGAGUUCUGGGCUGUAGUGCGCUAUGCCGAUCGGGUGUCUGCACUAAGUUCAGCAUCAAUAUGGUGAUUUCUGGGAGCAGGGGACCACCAGGUUACCUAAGGAGGGGUGAACCAGCCCAGGUCAGAAAUGGAGCAGGUCAAAACUCCCGUGCUGAUCAGUAGUGGGAUCAUGCCUGUGAAUAGCUACUGCACUCCAGCCUGGGCAACAUACUGAGACCCCAUCUCUA
ensembl:misc_RNA Metazoa_SRP Metazoan signal recognition particle RNA